UCAAAAGAAGCUUCAUGAGGUUGGUUUCGUGACUGGUAUUUGCUGCAUUUGUUUCAUGAUCAGAUGUGUUAUGGUUGCUGUUUCUGCUUUUAACGGGAACGCUGAUGUUGAUGUCAUUGACCAUCCAGUUCUCAUUCUCUUCUAUUACGUGGUGGUGGAGAUCUUGCCUUCUGUUUUGGUGCUUUUUAUUCUGCGCAAAUUACCUCCAAAACGUGUAUCAGAGCAAUAUCAUCCUAUCCAAUAACUCAUAGAAGAGCAUCCCUGAUUUUAGUACUUCACCG
rnacentral:misc_RNA from 1 species